rnacentral:tRNA from 5 species
UCUAAUAUGGCAGAUUAGUGUAUUGGAUUUAAACCCCAAAAAUAAAGUUUAAACUUUUUUUAGAA